rnacentral:SRP_RNA from 1 species
GCCAGGUGUGGUGGCGCACACCUGUAAUCCCAGCUACUCAGGAGGCUGAGGCAGGAGAAUCACUUGAAUCCAGGAGGCGGUGGUUGUAGUGAGCCGAGAUUGUGCCAAUGCACUCCAGCCUGGGCAACAGAGUGAGACUCUGUCUCAA